CAUUUUUACCCUAUUAGAAAAAAUGUCUCGACAACAGACACAAAUAUUGGACACUGUUCAUUAGGUAUUUGGCGUCUUGUCAAAGUUGGAAAGUCAAGAUGGUGGUAGACCAAAUGAAUUGCCUGAUGAUAUUCAUUUACUAGUAACAAGCAUUGAAGAACUGGAGUUGGUUGAGACAGGUUUACAAGAACCUGGUUGUUUCAAUGGCUUGGUCACAUACCUGACACUGCAAGGAGGUAUCACAAGAAGCGAUAUGUCAAAAAGAGUCAUGAAACACUGCAUGUCAAAUCAGUUGGCACUUCAGUUCAACUGGUUUGGCAAGAAAGGCCAAGGGAAGAGAGCGUUUGGGAAACUGAAGCUGGCCAAGGCAGUGCAAAAAGCAGUCAUGAAAUGUAAAAAAUGUACAGCAGCUGAAGUCAAAUUAGAUUGUAGAGAAUGGUUUCAAAGUGCAUGUGACAGAGACGGGGGCCGUAAAAGAAGACAAAAAACCAAUGAAGGUGUCCAAGAAACACCCACUGAAUAGAACUUUUUAAUAUAUUUAUAGCGAUAUUGAAAGAAAAAAGAUGGCUCUUUUAAAUUGGAAGUAAUGUAAAGGACUUGUAUCAUUCUAGCCUAAUAGUUCAAGAACAUAUAGCCUAAGAAGAAUAAAUCAUACAUAAAUAGUGAUAUAGUUAAACUAAACAUUAUUGAGAUAUAUUUAAGAAACAAUAUCAGUUUCUGUGUUGUUCAUCGGCUAUUUAAAAUCAGCUUAAGCUUGUGUGUCAGGCAGGAUUAUAUAUAUUGUGCUUACAUCGUUGCUGGAUUAAUGAUUCUUCAGCCCCUGACCAGUUUAAAGUGACGCCAUUCUGGCACUUGUAUGAGCAAGCUGCAUACUUGGGAUGACGUUUUUAUGGUGCUUACGAGUUCGCGUCAAUUUGUCUUAUAAAACUUAUAUCAAUCUGUUGGGUCGGUGAAUGUGAGAUGUUACUUUAGCAUCAUAUGAAAAGAAGAAAAAAAGUGAACUGAAAACAUCAGAAAAAGUGCAUUAUUAUUUUUGCCGUAAAAAGAAUUUGAAAACUAUUUUAUUGAGGGAGAAAAAAAAACAGCGGCAUAUUUGUGUAGUCCAUAAUCAGUGCUUAUUGGAAGUUUAUGCCGUUAAAAUCCUUCUUUGUUAUAGAAACAAAAUCUCAAGGAGUGUUAGAUUUACAUAAGAUGUACAUAUUGUUAUUGUUUUUACUCAUUCAGUAUUUCAAUCGCACAUAUCAAAUAUUGAGAUUAUGGUCAUAGCUUCAUGAUA